ACGGCUCAGUAACACGUGGCUAACCUGCCCUCGGGACGGAGACAACCCCGGGAAACUGGGGCUAAUCCCCGAUAGGCGAAGAACUCUGGAAUGAGUCUCCGCCCAAAAGACGCUUACGCCAUGCUCGUAGGCGCCGCCCAAGGAUGGGGCCGCGUCCGAUCAGGUUGUUGGUGAGGUAACGGCUCACCAAGCCUUUUACCGGUGCGGGCCGUGAGAGCGGGAGCCCGGAGAUGGGCACUGAGACAAGGGCCCAGGCCCUACGGGGCGCAGCAGUCGCGAAAACUUUGCAAUACACGAAAGUGUGACAGGGCUAUCCCGAGUGCCAUCCGCUGAGGAAGGCUUUUACCCAGUAUAGACAGCUGGGGGAAUAAGGAGAGGGCAAGACUGGUGUCAGCCGCCGCGGUAAUACCAGCUCUCCGAGUGGUGUGGAUGUUUACUGGGCCUAAAGCAUCCGUAGCUGGCUGGGCAAGUCCCCUGUUAAAUCCACCGAUUUAAUCGUUGGUUUGCGGGGGAUACUGUUCGGCUAGGGGACGGGAGAGGCCGACGGUAUUUUCGGGGUAGGGGUGAAAUCCUAUAAUCCCGGGAAGACCACCAGUGGCGAAGGCUGUCGGCUAGAACGCGCCCGACGGUGAGGGAUGAAAGCUGGGGGAGCGAACCGGAUUAGAUACCCGGGUAGUCCCAGCUGUAAACGAUGCAGGCUAGGCGUUUGGGUGGCUACGUGCCACUCUAGUGCCGCAAGGAAGCUGUUAAGCCUGCCGCCUGGGGAGUACGGUCGCAAGGCUGAAACUUAAAGGAAUUGGCG
rnacentral:rRNA from 1 species